rnacentral:rRNA from 1 species
AUUGAACGCUGGCGGCAGGCUUAACACAUGCAAGUCGAGCGGGGGAGGUUACUUCGGUAACUGACCUAGCGGCGGACGGGUGAGUAAUGCUUAGGAAUCUGCCUAUUAGUGGGGGACAACAUUCCGAAAGGAAUGCUAAUACCGCAUACGCCCUACGGGGGAAAGCAGGGGAUCUUCGGACCUUGCGCUAAUAGAUGAGCCUAAGUCGGAUUAGCUAGUUGGUGGGGUAAAGGCCUACCAAGGCGACGAUCUGUAGCGGGUCUGAGAGGAAGAUCCGCCACACUGGGACUGAGACACGGCCCAGACUCCUACGGGAGGCAGCAGUGGGGAAUAUUGGACAAUGGGGGGAACCCUGAUCCAGCCAUGCCGCGUGUGUGAAGAAGGCCUUUUGGUUGUAAAGCACUUUAAGCGAGGAGGAGGCUACCGAGAUUAAUACUCUUGGAUAGUGGACGUUACUCGCAGAAUAAGCACCGGCUAACUCUGUGCCAGCAGCCGCCGUAA